GCCUCCAGUCCGCGCCGUCCCUGUCCCUGUCCGCCCACGCCCAUCUGGUGCAGCCGCCGCGGCGCCUCCAGGAGUCCAGGCCGCCAUCGCCUGUGCCAGGCAGCGCCAUCCCUGUCCGCGUCCGCCCAUCCGCCGCCCCCACAAGGCCACAACAGGGACGUCCGCCACCCGCCAAGCAGGGCCAGUCCGCCUGCUCGCUUGCUCCAGCACUAUCUGGUAUGCUCAAGCACUAUCCCCAUCAGACGACGUUUAAUCUAUCUGGUAUGCUCAUUGCUCAAGCGAACAACAUUGCAUUCAGUUGAUGUUGCA
rnacentral:misc_RNA from 1 species